rnacentral:lncRNA from 1 species
UUCUCUCCAGCUGACGGCAGAAGAGGAAGUUGGAGGGAUGCGCUCUGGUGAGCCUGGCAGAACGCCCAUAUCUGUGCUGCAAACUUCCCUCCAGGACCACUUGACAAGGAACCGUGGGCAUCAUUCAAGGAGCUGAGAGCUAAUGGAAGAACAGACGCUUCAGCCCCACACCCGCGCAGAGAUGAAUUCUGCCAGCAACACUGCACUUGGAAGAGGACCCUGAUCCCCCAUGAGAACCUGGCCCUGGCCCCAUGAGUCCCUGUGCAGAGAACCUGUCAGCCUGGGCCUGGACUCAGGA